rnacentral:rRNA from 1 species
UACGAAGGGGGCUAGCGUUGCUCGGAAUUACUGGGCGUAAAGCGCACGUAGGCGGCUUCUUAAGUCGGUGGUGAAAUCCUGGAGCUCAACUCCAGAACUGCCUUCGAUACUGGGAAGCUCGAGUCCGGGAGAGGUGAGUGGAACUGCGAGUGUAGAGGUGAAAUUCGUAGAUAUUCGCAAGAACACCAGUGGCGAAGGCGGCUCACUGGCCCGGUACUGACGCUGAGGUGCGAAAGCGUGGGGAGCAAGCAGG